rnacentral:ncRNA from 1 species
CACCGAUAAUAGCAAACUGCCGGUAACGGUAGGACGCAAAGCCACCGGCCCUCUGAUAAGAGGGCAGCGGGGAUGCCGAA